UCAAAAGAUGACACCAACCAGUCCAUCACUGAUGCAAGCCUAAUGGGUCGAGAGAGGUGCAUUCAGCUAGUAUGAUAAUCUCCCAGCCAUUUUUGUACUUUGAAUAGGAUUAGAAUGUGUAUCAGUCAUAUGGAAGCCUUCACAAAAUGUACCAACAGAUUUAAGUGAUAGUAAACAGACGAUUGGGGUACCAAAUUCUGAGGUCUCUAUGCUGCUUUGAGGGGCCCACUUCCUAGUCUUGAUGCCAUCUUUAGGAACUGGUUUGCUGUGAGAUUUGCUCGGCUUAAGGAUUUACGUACAGUUUAAUGGCAUCAGCUACAUUGUAUUUUGCCUGUUUUACAAGGUGAUGGUUUCUUGUAUUGUUAAAUGUGUAACUGAGCCUCCAACAAAAGAGUAACCCUGGCUAUGGGAAGAUGCAACAAGAGGGAGUAUUUUCCUGGACCAUAACAGACUAGGAAGACAGACGUUUCAGAGACUUUGAGCUACUGUUAAUAACGCCUAGUCCACUAAAAGCCUGUCUGUGAAAUCGUUGCCAGACGUGGGAGUGCGCAUUCCUAGCACCUUGGGGACGAAAUGGUCAUGAACUGCCUCUCAGAGCUCUGGUCGAAUUUAUGACCCCGGGGGAGCCCUGUGAGCUGAAGUUUGGCACCUGCCGUCAGCCUCUUACAUGGAGUAAAACAGGAGCCACUGCAGCUGCAGACCUGUAGCUCCCCCUGAGCAGAGCUCCAGGUGGGACCAGGAGUGGGGAAUCCGAGCUCUAGGAAAAGUGGAAGAACAGGCCUUCAGAGACUCAGAUAUUAUUAGGAGAUGAUUUUAUGUGCCCCAUUCUUGCAUCUCCUAUCUGGAAAAACCCUGAAAUCCUUCAUGGUGAUGUCUGCUCCUUGGGACUGGCAGUGACCUUCAGGAGAUCAGCCACAAACUUCUGUAGAAUGUGUGUGUGCUGCAGGCCCCUCCCCCUCCGCUUGAUCACAUCCUGCUGUUCCCCCUUUUCCUCCCUGGGUGGUAUUUCCGCAGGUCUGUAGCUAAGGAUGAAGAAUGUCCGGGUCAUCUGGGAAUCAGUCACCUCCAGGGGUGAGAGCAGGAGAGCGGGGCGCAGGUUGGGGUGAACACGGACCGGCGCCUCGGAGCCUGUGCGGAGGAAGAGCCCGGACAGCCGGUCCUCCAGCCUCAGCCUCCCGCCGGGCACAUGACCAGUUAAGCGCCUCCUGCUCUGCCAGCCCCUGUCCACUGCGAGAAGAUGCUCCUUCUGCUGGAAGGGAUGGAGCCCAGCAGGAAGGCACCUGGCGGGGAGCCGCAAGGAGCCCGGACAGGUCACAUCCAUCCCGGUCAAGGCUGCGGCCCCCCGGCCCCCAGGGACACGCGCCGAGGCUCCCCGCGGCCGGCGCUGCUCACCCGCAGGGUCUGAAGGGCCAGGGCAGGAAGCGGGGUUGCAACAGCAGCCCAGGGCCUGGCUGGAGGGGCUGGGGUGGCCCUGCCCUCGCCUCCACCCCGUUGGAUCGCUCCCUUCCCACGGGGCGUCUCACCCGUGUCCGCCAGGCGGCCCGUGGGGAGCGCGGUGCUGCGCAGUCUCAGGGAGGGGAGGGCGUGGGAGGAGGACAGCUCCCGGCCCAGUGUCCUCCUCCUCCAACUUGGAAAACGGGAACCUGCUGAUGUCCAUACUCUGCAAUCCACUCAGCUUCCGGUAGGCAUCUCUUAAUCACUUAAUUGAAAUAGUUGAUCUGCAGUGUUGUGCUAGUUUCUGGUGUACAGCAAAGUGAUAAACACAUAUAUAUACAUGCACACACAGAUUCAGUAUCUUGUGAUCACCUGUAAUGGAAAAGAAUCUGAUGCCUUAAAGGUUAUUAUAAGAUACUGUGUGUGUAUAUAUAUUCUUUUUUCUGAUUCUUUUCCAUUAUGGGUGAUGACAAGAUAUUGAAUACAGCUCCAGGUGCUGUACUGUAGGCUCUUGUUGGUUAUCUUUUUUAUGUACAGUAGUUUACUAAUCUCAAACUCCUAAUUCAUCCCUUCCUUCCCCCUUUGGAGACCAUAGGUCUGUUUUUCUGUGACUGUUAGUUCGUCAUAUUUUAGAUUCUACAUAUAAGUGAUGUCAUGUCUUUCACUUAGUAUGAGAAUCUCUAGGUCCAUCCACGUUGCUGCACAUGGCAUGAUUUCAUUCCUUUUUUAUGGCUUAGUAUUCCAUUGUGUACAUGUGCCACAGCUUCCACAUGCAUUCCUCUGUCAAUAGACAUUCAGGUUGUUGCCAGGUCUUGGCUGUAGUGACUAGUGCUGCUGUGAACACUGGGGUGCAUGUAUUUUUUGAAUGGUCGUUUUUUCUGGGUAUAUGCCCAGGAGUGGGAUUGCUGGAUCAUAUGGCAACUCUGUUUAGCUUUUCGAGAAACCUCCACAGUGUUCUCCAUAGUGGUUGUACCAAUUUACAUCCCAACAGGGUGGGGGAGGCCCCCUUUUCUCCACACCCUCUCCAGCAUUUGUUAUAGCUUAAUGAUGGCUAUUCUGACAGGUGGAAGGGGGUACCUUAUUGCUGUUUGGAUUUGCAUUUCUCUGAUAAUCAGGGAUGUUGAGCAUCUUUUUGUGUGCCUGUUGGCCAUCUGUACGUUUCUGGAGAAAUGUCUGCUUAGGUCUUUGGCCCGUUUUUUGAUUGGGUUGUUUGGAAUAUUGAGCUGCAGGAGCUAUUGGUCUAUUUUGGAGGUUAAUCCCAUGUCAGCCUCGUUGUUCACAACUCUUUUCUCCCAAACCAUAGGUUGUCUUUUUGUUUUGUUGUCGGUUUCCUUCGCUGUGCAAAAGCCUGUCAGUUUGAUUGGGUCCCAUUGGUUUAUGUUUGCUUUUAUUUCCAUUACCUUGGGAGACUGACCUAAGAAAACACAUGGUAUGAUUUACAUCAGAAAAUGUUGUGCCUGGGAUCUCAGAGAUAUAUGGCAUAGUGUCUUUAACCCGUUUUGCAAUUAUUUUUGUGCAUGGUGUGAGGGUGUGUUCUGGUUUCAUUGAUUUACGUGUAGCUGUCCAGGUUUCCCAACCCUGGUUGGGAAGAGACUGUCUUUUGCCCCUUUGAUGUUCUUGCCUCCUUUGUGGAAGAUUAAGGGGCCAUGGGUGUGUGCGUUUAUUUCUGGGCUGUUGUUUAAAGAUACAGCAAGACAGCAUUAGAAGUGAAGGAGCUCAGUGUGUGUGGGGGGACAGAGCCCUGUCCCCAAGGACGUCCACACCCUGACCCCCAGACCUUGCGACUCUGUGACGUCCACAGCAGAGGGGACUUGGCAGCUGUGGCCACAUGAAGGACCUUGGCUGGGGAGAUGGCCGGGAUUUUCCAGGUGGUCCAGCGUCAUCACAGAGGUUCCCAUAAGAGGCAGAGGACCGUUUGAUCGCGAGAUGCUGGGCUUUAGGCUCUGGGGAUGGAGGAGGGACCGCACGCUCAGGACUGCUGCCGCCUCCAGAAGCUGGGAGAGGCCGCAGAUUCUCCGCUGGAGCUGCUCCAGGAGGAACCAGCCCUGCGGGCAGCCUGACUUGAGCGCUUUGGCCUUUAAAACACGAAGACAGCACAUCUUCCUUUGAAGCUGCCCGGUCUGUGGUACUUCUUUAGAGGGACCACGAGAGGCUGCGGGAUCCAGGGCUGCGAGGGAGCGGACACCGCAGAAAAGGUAACUCCUUGGGAAGCUCUGAUGACCGGACAGAUGAGCAGAAGCCGAAAGCUCAGGGAGAAAGAUCUACUUUUCCACGAACCGCUUUUCACGAGCGUCCCUAGGAGCCUGCGAACUCUGUGAGGGCAGGACUUAAGGUGCUUUGGGUUCCCUUCCAAAGGGGAGCAUGCCCACCCCUGCCCAACCGGUCCACCUGGCUGGAGCCCCAUGAGAAGCUGCCUGCUGGGGGUGUUGCAGUGUCAGAGGUCAGGUUGCACCCCCACCUCCCCGUGCCCCAACAUCCAGCACCCCGGUUCUGGAACACGUGUGUGGACUCAGAUGCACUGAGGCUGAAUUUGCAGGAACAGAGUUUGGAGCUGGCUAGCAGGGACCAUCUGAGUCCGAAGGUUUUGGGACCCGCCCUCCUGCCUGUCCUCCAGAGCAGCCCGAAGCUGAACUGCUUCCUGCAUCUCUGCAGAGCAGGGAGGUACAGACGAUGCUGGCAGCUCUCCUUCUCCUCUCAUGCCCCUGGACAUCCUCUGUGGUCACCUGCAGGUCUCCUCCAGCCAGCCGGCUGGCUCGCGGUAAGAACCGCCAGAGCACUUGCGAACGUCCAGGCAGUGGCCUCGCCUUGCCAGGGGACUUCAGAUGCCAGCCUCCAGUACCAGGAGGGAGAAAUGCCUCUUGUUGAAGCCGCCCCGUCUGGGGUAUCUGCUUUUGGCAGCUGAGCGGACUCAUACUGGUCUAGACUCACAGUCUGUAACCUCUGGGAGGAGGUCCAGGAAUGGAACCAUCCGAGAUGGACUCUCUAAUAUUUUCUGGGAGGAAUCAAGGGACUCCAAUGCUGGAAGCAAGGCCCCUGGAGGACCUCAGGGUGGUGCUGACAGCCCUUUGUGACUCAGGGACUCACCGGUGUCCGCCCAGGCAGUUCCCCUUUCCGUCGGCCUCAGGGAACUGCUCAGGAGAUCUUCUCAUGAGAGGAAUCCCGACUGCUCCACAGACAGGUGCCAGCGUUCAGACCCUGAGGCUGCCUCUGGCUCCGCAAGUGUGGAUGUGCCCAGGCAGGUCUCAGGACGGAGCCUCGAGAAGCAGGAAAGGCCGUGUGGAUGGAGCCCCUGGGGACGGAGAGGAGGAGGAAGAUGGACUGGGUCGAGCAGAGGAGUCAUCUGAUUCACCGUACAGGACAGCGUCCAGCCUUCACGCCGGGACGUCCUCCAGGGACGCCGUUCACUGCAGCACUGUUCACAACAGUCAGGACAGGGAAACAACCUAAAUGUCCAUCGACAGAGGAAUGGAUUAAGAAGAUGUGGUCCACAGACAGUGGAGUACGAUUCCGACAUAAAAAGAAGGAAAUCAUGCCACUUGCAGCAACAUGGGGAGACCCAGAAAUUCCCAUCCUAAGUGAAGUCAGACAGAGGAAGACAAAUACCAUAUGAGAUCACUUAUGUGUGGAAUCCAAAUUAUACAACAAACUAGUG
rnacentral:lncRNA from 1 species